GAUGAACGCUGGCGGCGUGCCUAAUACAUGCAAGUCGAGCGAACGGACGAGAAGCUUGCUUCUCUGAUGUUAGCGGCGGACGGGUGAGUAACACGUGGAUAACCUACCUAUAAGACUGGGAUAACUUCGGGAAACCGGAGCUAAUACCGGAUAAUAUUUUGAACCGCAUGGUUCAAAAGUGAAAGACGGUCUUGCUGUCACUUAUAGAUGGAUCCGCGCUGCAUUAGCUAGUUGGUAAGGUAACGGCUUACCAAGGCAACGAUGCAUAGCCGACCUGAGAGGGUGAUAGGCCACACUGGAACUGGGACACGGUCCAGACUCCUACGGGAGGCAGCAGUAGGGAAUCUUCCGCAAUGGGCGAAAGCCUGACGGAGCGACGCCGCGUGAGUGAUGAAGGUCUUCGGAUCGUAAAACUCUGUUAUUAGGGAAAAACAUAUGUGUAAGUAACUGUGCACAUCUUGACGGUACCUAAUCAGAAAGCCACGGCUAACUACGUG
rnacentral:rRNA from 1 species